rnacentral:rRNA from 1 species
GACAGAGGGUGCAAGCGUUGUUCGGAAUUACUGGGCGUAAAGCGCGUGUAGGCUGCUCCGCAAGUCGGAUGUGAAAGCCCUGGGCUCAACCUAGGAAGUGCAUUCGAAACUUCGGAGCUGGAGUCCUGGAGAGGAAGGCGGAAUUCUCGGUGUAGAGGUGAAAUUCGUAGAUAUCGAGAGGAACACCGGUGGCGAAGGCGGCCUUCUGGACAGUUGCUGACACUGAGGCGCGACAGCGUGGGGAGCAAACAGG